rnacentral:lncRNA from 1 species
AGGAACAUGAAAUCUUAUUAGCGAAAAAAUAUUCCACAAGGAAGAGCACCAAAACUGGGGCAGAAAAUUUUCUGCCAUUGUCGAAAAUAUUCUCGGAGGAACGAGGAAAUCAAUUCAAGUUUAAAGGGAUAGCAAGACAACAAUUUUAAGAAAACGGUCAGAGGUAAGAUAAUUUCACGUUUUGAAUACGGGAGUCCGCUCGUAUAAUAGAGAUAUACAUUUCACUCUUUAAAUUUCAAGUUUUGAAGAUGGGUUUAUCCGCCCUCGAAUAAGAUAUGAUGGGUCUAUCCGCCCUCGAAUAGGAUAUGAUGGGUCUAUCCUCCCUCGAAUAGGAUAUGAUGUUGUUUUUGUCAGAAAUACCCANNNNNNNNNNNNNNNNNNNNNNCCCUCGAAUAGGAUAUGAUGGGUCUAUCCGCCCUCGAAUAGGAUAUGAUGGGUCUAUCCGCCCUCGAAUAUGAUAUGAUGGGUCUAUCCGCCCUCAAAUAGGAUAUGAUAGGUUCAUCAGCCUUCGAAUAGGAUAUGAUGGGUCUAUCUGCCCUCGAAUAGGAUAUGAUGGGUUCAUCCGCCCUCGAAUAGGAUAUGAUGGGUCUAUCUGCCCUCGAAUAGGAUAUUUUGGGUCCAUCCGCCCUCGAAUAGGAUAUUAUAGGUUUGUCCACCUUCGAAUAGGAUAUAUGGGUCUAUCUGCCCCCAAAUAGGAUGUUAUAGGUUUGUCCACCUUCGAAUAGGGUAUUAUGGGUCUAUCCACCCUUGAAUAGGAUAAUUUUAGGUUCAUCCGCCUUCAAAUAUGAUAUUAUACUAUCCGCCCUCGAAUAGGAUAUUAUAGGUUUCUCCACCUUCGAAUAGGAUAUUAUGGGUCUAUCCGCCCUUGAAUAGGAUAUUAUAGGUUUGUCCACCUUCGAAUAGGAUAUUAUGGGCCUAUCCGCCCUUGAAUAGGAUAAUUUUAGGUUCAUCCGCCUUCGAAUAGGAUAUUAUAGGUUUGUCCGCCCUCGAAUAGGAUAUUUUGGGUCCAUCCGCCCUCGAAUAGGAUAUUAUAGGUUUGUCCACCUUCGAAUAGGAUAUAUGGGUCUAUCUGCCCCCAAAUAGGAUGUUAUAGGUUUGUCCACCUUCGAAUAGGGUAUUAUGGGUCUAUCCACCCUUGAAUAGGAUAAUUUUAGGUUCAUAUAUCUGCCCUCGAAUAGGAUAUUAUAGGUUUGUCCACCUUCGAAUAGGAUAUUAUGGGUCUAUCCGCCCUUGAAUAGGAUAAUUAUAGGUUCAUCCACCUUCGAAUAGGAUAUUAUAGAUUUGUCCACCUUCGAAUAUGAUAUUUUGGGUUCAUCCGCCCUCGAAUAGGAUAUUAUAGGUUUGCCCACCUUCGAAUAGGAUAUAUGGGUCUAUCUGCCCCCAAAUAGGAUGUUAUAGGUUUGUCCACCUUCGAAUAGGGUAUUAUGGGUCUAUCCACCCUUGAAUAGGAUAAUUUUAGGUUCAUCCGCCUUCAAAUAUGAUAUUAUAGGUUUUUCCACCUUCGAAUAGGAUAUUAUGGGUCUAUCUGCCUCGAAUAGGAUAUUUUAGGUUUGUCCGCCUUUGAAUAGGAUAUUACAGGUUUGUCCACCUUCGAAUAGGAUAUGAUGGGUCUAUCCGCCAUCGAAUAUGAUAUUUUAGGUUUGUCUACCUUCGAAUAGGAUAUUUUGGGUUUCUCCACCUUCGAAUAGGAUAUUUGGGUUCAUCCACCCUCGAAUAGGAUAAUUUAGGUUCAUCCUCCCUCGAAUAGGAUAUUAUAGGACAUUUAUCCGCCCUCGAAUAGGAUAUUAUAGGUUUGUCCACCUUCGAAUAGGAUAUUAUGGGUCUAUUCGCCCUCGAAUAGGAUAUUUUAGGUUUGUCAGCCUUCAAAUAGGAUAUUAUAGGUUUGUCCACCUUCGAAUAGGAUACUUUGGGUUCAUCCACCCUCGAAUAGGAUAAUUUAGGUUCAUCCGUCUUUGAAUAGGAUAUUUUAGGUUUGUCCACCUUCGAAUAGGAUAUUAUGGGUCUAUUCGCCCUUGAAUAGGAUAUUAUGGAAUCUAUCCGCCCUCGAAUAGGAUAUAUCGGGUCUAUCUGCACUCGAAUAGGAUAUUGAAGUGAAUCCUUCCUCAAAAGGACAUUUAAUUUAUUUCGGCCCGAAUGGUCCUGCUGGUAUAAACAUUGCCAAAAUAUAUAUUUCAUAAAUCAUUGCCAAAUGCAUUUUAUUUUCAAAGUUGUUGAUGAAGUUAAGCAUCCACCUGUAUAACAAGGGUAUACUUUCAUGUCUUUACCAAUUAGGCGCUCACCUGUAUAACAAGGGAAUAUUUUUCAGUCUUAACAUUUCAGAUCUUGAAACCAUUAACCCACCGAAAGGCAGAAGGUUACAACAAAAGAUCCCCAUCAUAGUGAAGGAAGCAGUAUCCUCAGCGGACAGAACAAAAUGAGGAAAACUGGUGUUCAAUAAAGCAAGAGGCCAGUGUUACCCCCGACAGUUCUCGGAAGAAAGAAGCACCGGAAGAAACACAAGCCGACAAGAAAGCAAGGCAACAAGGACAAUUGAAAGAUAGAUAAGAUCUUAUGAUCCGUAGUCUAACCUAGCUUCUUAUUUUCUUUUAGCACGGUGUAAUAAGGAGAUUAGUAAGCAGUAGCAAUAUCAUGCAACAACACUAACAGCAAAAGUGCAAUCCCAUGGUAGUCCCAGCUACCGAAACUUCCCGAACUACAUUAACCUGAUUCCCUUUUAGCUAGGGAUAUGUAGGAAACCUAAUAACCAAAGUUUCG